CUCGCUCCCUGGGGAGGCGCACGCGGCUCGAGGCAGCCUCGUCCCUCCCGCCUUUUCCUCUCCGCGCAUGCGCCCUGCCCGCCGCCGCCGCCCGCCUCCUCCCCUCCUCUCUCCGGCGGCCCCGGACUGACUGACUGACUGACGGAGGAGGAGGAGGAGGAGGGGCGCCUGCCUCUUGCUGCUGCUCCUGGGCCGCUUCGCCAAGUCCCAGGCUCUGUACCAGAGGACUGGAGAGUAGCAAAUGUAACACCGAUUUUCAAGAAGGGAUCCAGGGGCGAUCCGGGAAAUUACAGGCCGGUUAGCCUAACGUCCAUUCCAGGCAAAUUGAUGGAAAGCAUCCUCAAGGAUAAAAUUGUAAAGCACCUAGAAGAACAGGCCCUGCUGGGAGUGAGCCAGCAUGGCUUCCGCAAAGUGGGAAGCUGAGAUGGAGAGAGGGAGGCUUUUCUAAGGCUGCCUGGGCACCUUCCAGUUUAGCUGCUCAACAGCAGCAAAAUGCUUCCAUUCAGGCAAAUCACAUUCAAAAGGGCUGCUGUAGAUGCUCCUGCUCCUCCAUCACACUGACUGGGUCCCUGGUUGGCUGAGUGGGUGUGAAUCAUCCUUUUUGUCAAGGUAUGGCUUUCAUCUGAAAACUCUGCAUGGAGCUGAAUAAUGGUCUGAUAGAAGGAAGGGCAGAGUGGCUACCAUCUGAUGUGAACAUCCUGCUAGCUCGCUGCCUGCAUGCCAGGAUACUGCUUGCAGCCAUGCUGUAGUACACAACUUGCAGAAUGUUUUGCAAGGGAAGGGGUGGAGAGGAGAGCUGCUGGAUUUCCUCUGCAUUAAUCAUCUGGGUGAAUUAUCUGGCAUGGAAAACAGGAUACUGGGCUAUGGGGGAAUCAGUUUGUUCCAUUGUGGUUAUUCCGGUGUUCCUACUCUUUAGGAAAAUAUUUACCGUGGUCCUAAUAUAGUAGCAGGCCUUGAUCCUGUCCCCCGUGAGGUCAACAGCAACAUUCCUGUUGACGUCCAUGGUUCCGUUCAGCUCACUUAUUGAGGCACAAUAUGGGGAAUUGACCAGAGCAGACAAUGAGUCCACCACAGAGACAGGAAGCACCUGCAGUUUAUAUUCUUUUCAGCUUCUUGGUAUUUUUGGUGGGAAUAAUGGGGUACUUUUGUGAAUCUUACCCAUUAAGUGAGGCAUCUACAAACAAACGAACAAAACCUCCUCGCAGGCCUGUUGGCAGUGCACAGACAAUGUGGAGACUGUUGGAAGCAGUACUGUGGAGCUGUCACUGCCCCUCGGCUGUGUCUGCCUUGCCCUGCUUGAGAGCUUUGGGGGCCCAGAGUGGAUGGGAUUAGAGGGGGCAGGCGAGUGAUGCUAGGAAGACAGCCCAGUGUGUUUGGGGUGUGGCGGGGGCCCUUCUUCAGGAGCAGCUGUCCUUUUAUUUGACAAAGAUACACCUCUUGGGCUGGCUGCCACCCACACCCCUUCUGCUGCCCGCCCUACAAAGAAGCAGGGGUUCCAGUUAGUUCUGUUCUAGGCACAGACUAGCCAGAUAAGUCUCCAGAGAGCUUCCCAAAUCACUGUUUUAAAAACAUGACAAAUUGCAGACGGUGCUUCUCCCACAUCUUGUGUCAAUAACCCGUUGUCUUUCUCCGUCUCAUCAAUAUACUCCCUCCUUCCCCCCCCCCACAAUUCUGUGAAACUUGAAAGUCAGCUCUCUGUUUUGAAAUUGUUAGAAGGUCCUAAUAAAAUGUAUCAUAGCAG